UGGCCAUAUCAGGUUGGAACACUGGUCCUCAUCCAAUCACUAAAGUUAAGCAACAUCAUGCCUGGUCAGUACUGAGAUGGGUGAAGGCUUGAAAAUAUCAGGUGCUGUAA